rnacentral:tRNA from 1 species
CAUUAGGUGGCUGAAAGUAAGCACAGGUCUCUUAAACCUUAUAAUAGUAACGUAACAUUUACUUCUAAUGG